rnacentral:rRNA from 4 species
AUCAGGUAGGAAUACCCGCUGAACUUAA